rnacentral:rRNA from 1 species
GACGAACGCUGGCGGCGUGCUUAACACAUGCAAGUCGAACGGAAAGGCCCUGCUUGCAGGGUACUCGAGUGGCGAACGGGUGAGUAACACGUGGGUGAUCUGCCCUGCACUUCGGGAUAAGCCUGGGAAACUGGGUCUAAUACCGGAUAGGAGCCAUUUUUAGUGUGACGGUUGGAAAGUUUUUUCGGUGUAGGAUGAGCUCGCGGCCUAUCAGCUUGUUGGUGGGGUAAUGGCCUACCAAGGCGGCGACGGGUAGCCGGCCUGAGAGGGUGGACGGCCACAUUGGGACUGAGAUACGGCCCAGACUCCUACGGGAGGCAGCAGUGGGGAAUAUUGCACAAUGGGCGCAAGCCUGAUGCAGCGACGCCGCGUGGGGGAUGACGGCCUUCGGGUUGUAAACUCCUUUCGCUAGGGACGAAGCUUUUUGUGACGGUACCUAGAUAAGAAGCACCGGCUAACUACGUG